rnacentral:lncRNA from 1 species
CUCUGGGCUUCAGACUCCUCGGAAAGUGGGGGACAGACCCCUGCUAUCAGCGAACCAAGACUUUCUGCCCCCAGGGAGGCCUGGGAGGAGGUGCCGGUGAAUCAGGGGCUCUAAAGGGCCACCCAGCACGCCACCCAUCCCUUUGUGACUUAGGGGCCACGGGGUCCUCUGGCUUCGAGGCUGGUAUUUGAUCCCCUGCCGGCCUGUGCAGACAGCCGAGGGCGUGGACGUGAUGAAAGAACCCAGCGCUCGGGCUGAACAAAGCCGGCAGCGAACGUGCUCAGCCCCUUCAGUUUCUUCGCUGAUGGGUCCAAGCGCGCCCUCUAGCGGCCGCCCCUGGAUCUGCGCCCCCGAGUCUUCACACUCGUGUGCGACUGUUCACCUCAAGCCGGGCCACAGCCUCGGAGCCGUGUGAAGACGGGGCAGGACUGCGUGUCGCUAUCCUCUGAACCCCUUCGCCAGGGCUGUCCUGCAGCUCUGUUCCCCUUUCCGCCUCAGUUGUCAGGGCCGCCUGCAACCCUGCAUCUCAGGCCGUGGUUUGCAGCGCUGGUUGCUGCUUUCCUUGAAGCCCUUCUUUGCAAAGUUUCUGGGAGCUAAUAUUUCCUGCGUGGAUGAAGCCAAGCCAAUCUGGGAAAAGCACAGAUUGUGAGAAGCGAUCUCAAUCUUUGUUCAAGGUCGAUGCAUGGCUUGAUGAGCAGUGCCAUGUCUGCACCUGGAGUAGAUGCUGGAGUUGUGCUGAGCCCCAAAGUGGAAGAUCUAAAGGGGCCUGUUCUUCACGGAUUGAGUCACGGGGAACAUCGAGAAAGAUGAGGCUACUUCUUCACCAACUGCUGUGCUGUGCUGAUGCUUUCGGCCUUAAUUCAGAUAUUACUGGGGGAAAAAGCCCCUAAUUAUAGUCAGUUACUGACUCAUAACCAUACUUUGCUCGUGGUUAUUUCCUCUAAGAAGAAAACAUGUGGUAUUUUUGCCUAAUGGGUGUGUGUGUUUGUAUGUCUGUGUGGUGUUUCUCUCUCCAGAAUGUCUUUACGUGACCUUCAGCCAGAGGGUGGGCCUUCCUAGGAGCUCUUUAAGUCGGCUCCAGCUGUGUACACGGCUGUUGGAUCGCUUUAGCAGACACACCCAGGAUAUGGGUGUGGCUUUGAAAUGCCCAGCUCACAUGCGUGUCAUUUCACGUUACCUUCUGUGGUCAGUAGUAACUGAACAGGAUGCGGAGCUGACCUACUCCUCUGUGCUAGUCCUGACUGUUUAGGUUGCCGGGGACAGGAACCCAGGUCACAGAUUUAAAUCCAGACAGAUUUAUAGGCUCACUUAACGGCAUAGCAUCAGAGGAGAUCCAGGUACAGCUGGAGCCAGACGCUCUUAUAAAAUCAUUGACAGCUGUUUCUAUCUGCUUUCUUCCAUAUUGGCUUCCUUUCCAGGCAGGCUGUUCCCAUUGUGCUGCCUGGAACAGCUACAGCUUGCAUUUUACCUGCUUAGUAAAUCCAGUAUAAAAACACCUCUUGCUCAAUAAUUUCAGCAAAAGUCUGGCGCUCUUAUUGGCCCAGCUAGGGACAUGUGGCCAUCCCUGAAGCGAUCACAUUGGCCACGGUGAUGGAGCGGUCUCACCGACAGCACACGCAUGCCCACCCCUUGUCUCGGGGAGGGAUUCACAUCCACCACGUGACACGGGCUGAGAGCAGAAAGGUAGUUUGCAUUCUAGCAGCUGUUUGUACAGAUAAACUACCCUGGAGUUAAUUUUGAAUAACCAAAUUUUGCAUUUAGUUAUGUUUAGCAUAAAUUUUAGGUCUAAUUUAUGAACUACCGUUAUCUUCUGACCUCGCCAUAUUUUAUGAAUUUCCACACUUAAUGAAGACAGGCUUUAAAAACUUUGAGGUUUCCAAUUCAGACGAGUAAGAAAAUCUCUUUUACUAAAGAAAUUUGACAGCAAUGGAGGCUUUGUGUCUUUAUAUUGAAUGGGGAUAAAAAAACCUCAACAGAAGAAAUCUACUGUUUCUGAUAAAUCUCAGAGCUUAGUUCAGUCUGACCUCGGGUCUUCGGUCCGUUUGACUAAAUCAGCUCACGGUUUGGGUUUAGUUCAAAGGCUUGCAUGUUUAGUCUUCUUACUGGAGGGAUUUCUAACACAGUACCUGGGAAAAGAAAGUGCUUUUGCAUCUAAGAAGUUUCUUCCAAAGUUUCUCCCUUGUUAAAGGGAGACUCGCAUUUCUGAUUUCCUAUUUUGCCUUUUCAGUGGGGGCUUAUGUUAUUCUCUUUCACCAAAAAGCGGACAAGACGUACUUGUUGGUUUCAAAUCCCGCGCUGACUCUGACUUCGCCUCUCUGUGCUUCCGUGUCCUCAUCUGCGGAAACCUCCUGCAUGAUAUUGCUACAUAAACUUCUUAGGACAGGGGCUGAUUAACCCCUUUAGGAGUGUUUGCUGCCAUGAUUGUUAUUUCAUGAGCUCUUGAAGCACAGAACCAUGGGCCUGAUUUGCUUCUGGUUGAGCUGGAAGCUGGGAGGGCAGAGGGCAGAUGCCUGAAGCGAAGCAGCCUAUUAAAAGUAGAAUAGAAAUAGACGAGAGGAAACCCAAGCGCUUUUCUCUUCAGAUAGCUAUCAAACCACGCUUCGCUGCAGACUCUGGGCUUGGUUAUGGCCAGAGAUCAAAGGCUCUCUUAUGUGCAAUGACAUUUCUGAGCACAGGGCUGAGUUAUAAAACUCUUGAAUGGAAGGUUUUGGCACUUGGAACAGCUUGGGAUAGAAAGGCAGGGUUUUCAUAGAGGCGAUUCACGGAACUGCUUAUGCUGGUGGACGAUCCAGACCAUGAUGACUCACAUGUCUCUUUAUUGCUUUGGACCAAGAACUGUUGUUUCCCUUUAAGUCUCUCUGUAGGAGCUGAGCUACAGCCUAGGGCCAAGAUAACUCUUUCAGAAGGACAGUGUGGCUUCAGUGAGUGUGAACAGGAAUAUCCCUUUGUUGGACUCUCGGUUAAGCAUGCUGAACAAGCCAAAUAAGGAUUUUAUUUUUACCAAGGGAUAGAAUUUCUUUUGGAAACUGGCAGCAUCCUUAAUGCUUCUUUAACUUCAAAUAAGCUUUCCUUUUGUCUGUCUGCUAUUUUCAUUUUCUGAAAGCACAGGCUAAAUUUGAUAGUGUGACAAGUAGAGGACAGUAGAACAACGUUGGACUGUUGAAAUCAGUGUGUCUGGGUGGUUGCAUAUGGAACUAGGCAUGGUAGAAGGGGUCAUUUGGAGUCUGGUUUGCCUGAGGUCCUGCUAGGUCUCCUGGGAAAAACGGGGAAGAGGAUUUUUGGACUGAUGGUAAGACCUAGUGUGGUGGGCAGACUUCUAAGAUAGUUCCCACUGUUCCCCACCUCCUGGUACUUACUCCCUUGUGUAAUCUCCUCCUCUUGUAUUCGGGCUGGAUCUGGUGACCUGCUUCUCAGGAAUAGAUCAUGACAAAAGUAACAGACUGCCGCUUCCAUGUUUAUGUUACAAAGACUGUGAUGUCUACCUUGCUAGGACUCUCUCUUGCUGCCACUUUUUCAUUCUCGCUCUUGCCUUCUUGGCUUGCAUGCUUUGAUGGAGCCGGAUGCCUUGUUGGAGAGGCCCACCUGGCAAGGAACUGAGGGUGGCUUCGGGUCAACAUCGUGCAAAGAACUGAGACCCUCAGUCCAAUGCCCCUGAGGAACUGAAUCCUGCCAACAACCAUGCAAGGUGCUGCAAGUGCAUCCUGCCCCGGGUGUAUCUUGAGUUGAUUGCAGCCGUGACCGCCCACCUUGACUUCUGUCUUGUGAGAGGCCCUGAGGCAGAGGACCCAGCUAAGCGGUUCCUGCAUCCCUGCCCUCCAAAACUGUGAGAUAAUUGUGGAUUGUUUAAUCUGCUACAUUUUGGGGUAAUUUUUAACACAGCAAUUGUAAGUAAUAUACCAGGUCAGUAAAAUUUACUAUCUUGAGCAAAGAGGGAAACAAAGCCUGUCUCCAAACUCUGGGGUUUUGGGUAAUUUUAGUGGGUUGGGAACUCACUAUGAAGUAGCAGAUUGUCCUUAAUUCGUGGAGACAGAGGUCCUUGUGGGGUGGUGUUCAUUAUGGUCUCUAAUCCAGUGCCUGGGAGUUAUCCCCACCCUUCGGGAAGGAAUGCUGAACCAGAAGAGACAGGAUUUAUUGGGGAAUCUUAAUUGGACCUGAAGUCACUGGUUGGGAGAAAAAUCAAGAGUAGGAAGUGUUAAGUGUGGGGAGAGAGAGGCAGGUUCAAGUCUUUAUUUGCAGAUAAUAGUGGUUUCAGAAUAAGCUUACCGUGUGGUUGGGAGGAAAAGAAUCACAAAGAAAGGUGAAAUUUCAGGGAGAGGUGCUAUGGAAGCGGCAAAUGGUGAAGGAUUCCUCUGAGCAGCCCAGAAGAAAUGACAUACCAGCGCUAGUGGAGGAGGAAAACCACAUUUCAGGAAAACAAACGAAAACUUAAAUGAAUAAUAAAUUCUCAAUGUGGAAACUCUGAAUAGACGUGGAUAAAGAUAAGGGUAAAAAUAGAUCACACGUCAUCCCACUACGCACAGGGAACCAAUGUUAACAUUUUUGUAUGUUUCUCUUUGUCAGUGCAUAUUUUUAUAUUGUUGAUAUUGUUACCAUAUAUGCAAUUUUUAUUUAAUUAAAAAAUUUAAUUAUGAAAUAAUUCAAACAUGCAAAAAAGUUCAGAAAAUAAUAUGACACCAAAUGCAGUGGCUUAGAUUAAAUUUGCUAGCAAUAGAAUGCCCCUUCACCCCCUUCAAUAAAAUUGGUGUGGACAAGAUAGACAUUUAUUUUUCCCUCAUGUAAAAGAAAUCUGUAGGGACUCAGUCCAGGAUGAGUUGGUAGUUCUACAGCAUCAUCAUUAGGAAUCCAACUUCCAGCUCUCUGCUCCACCAUUCCUGCGAUGCCUUCAUGCUUAUAAGAUGGUUGUUGGAGCUCCAGCAAUUGCAUCCACAUUCUACACCAUAGGAAUGCCUCUUCCUCUUUAAAGAGACCUCUAAGAAGUUUCGUGCAACACUUUCACAUUGUAUUGGCUCAAAUUUAGUCAUGUGGUCACAUCUAAUUGCAUGAUGGGCAGGAAAUUAAGUCUUUCAUUCAAGGUGAUGACAUUGCCAGCUAAGAAAUCUUUGCUACACCAUGGAACCACCAACUGGAUUUAACAUAUAAUACCACUUUGCUACUUUGGAUCUCUUUUUAAAUUUUUUGGAUUAAAAGUGAAGAAUUAAAGGGGCCAGCCCUGUGGUGUAGUGAUUAAGUCCACUGCACUCGGCUUUGGUGGCCUGGGUUCACAGGUUCAGAUCCCAGGCACGGACUUACACCAAUUGUCAAGCCAUGUUGUGGUGGUGACCCACGUGCAAAAUGCAGAAAGAUUGGCACAGAUGUUAGCUCAGGGUGAAGCUUUCUCAGCAAAAAAGAAAAAAAGAAUGAAGAAUUAAACAUAUAGAUAGAUUCCAUUUUCACUGAGGAUGUAAAAAUUGGAAGUGUCAUUCUUAUUUAACAAGAAAAAGUCAGAUAAACUACAAAAUCACAACUUUUCUCAAGCCCAUUAGAAAAUUGAGGUUGGAGGGUGAUUAAGCAGACUGAAAUCUAAGGAAAGACAGGCUCCUCAAAAAAGGGACAGGAUUCCCCCACCGCCCCAACCUUGGCAGAGAGCAUGGCAGGAAGAAACACUGGGUACUGUACUAGUAGGUAAGAAGUGAGCUAAAAUUUUUAAUGAACUUCUAAAGGCUUGAUGUGGGUUACUGUGACAGUGUGGAAAUCUUGGCAUUCCCAGACACAAGGGAAAUUCACACUUAUUAAUAGGUUCUUCACAAUGGACCUCUGCUAAGCGUUCACAAGAAAGACUGAGGCUAGGAGGGACACCAGAAAACGCUUUCCUAGGUGGUUCAGACCUGAAAAAAGAGAUUGCUCUCCACUGCAGGAACCUUUCCCCCUGUGGAACAAUAGCUGUAAGCUGUUGAAGGAAGGACAACAAACCAUUGCCUCUAGCAACACAAGUGAAGACCCAUUGGGGCUGGGGGGAAAGGAAAAGAAAAGAAAUCCUUUAUUCCUCAGGGAGAGAAGUAGAAAACAAUUCUAAGCAAGAAUCCUAUACCAAUCUUAUUAGUGGUCUCCUACUGGUGGGGAAGGGCAGGAAGCUAUCUCUUGCACAAGACCUUCUAAAGAUAUAAAGCAGUUAGGUUGCCAUGGGGAGGAAGGACAGAAUCACUGAAACAGUCACAUCUCUGAGACCCAGGGACACGGGGCCUGCCAGGACAGCAGAAAAUUUCCCCUCUGCUGCCCUCUCACCCCAGCCAGGCUAGCAAGCACUGAGUAACAAGCCACAGCAGCUUACCACUGGGGAACGGACAAGAAUAUGGAAGGAGAUGCCCUGUGUGGUGCAGGCACACGGGGAAGGCUAAAGGCUAAAGGUGGAGCAGAAACGUUGAGAAAAAUCCUCUAGCUUCCAGCCCCUGCACCAGGCACAAGGUAACACCAGAGGAAUUUGGAGCAACUGGUGCAUAGUAAUGAUAGCAACAACAAAACUCAGUAGAGCGAAGGUAACCAUAGCAACAACAAAACUCAGUAUAGUGAAGGUAGCCAUAGCAACGACAAAACUAAAACCCUACUCAAUUCCUGACUAGGUUGACUCAACUCCCCACAGUAAUGACCUACUAAAAGAACUUAUGUGUCCAUUUCUAGGCAUAGAUACUGUUUAUCUCAGUCUUUACUGUUCUACAUACACUGUCUGGCAUUCAAUAAAAAAAUCACGACAUAUACACAUAAGAAGAAACCCCCAACUGUUAAAAGACAAAGAGUGAAUAAAACCAAGCUCAGAGACUGCCCAGACGUUAGAAGUAUCAGGGAAUUUAAAAUAACUAUGAUCAAUAUGUUAAAAGAUGCAGUGGGGGGCUGGCCCUGUCACAUAGUGGUUAAGUUCAGCGUGCUUCACUUUGCUGGCCUGGGUUUGCAGGUUUGGAUCCUGGGCCUGGACCUCCACCACUCAUCAGCCAUGCUGUGGCGGUGACCCACAUACCAAGAAGAGGAAGAAUGGCACGGAUGUUAGCUCAGGACUGAUCUUCCUCAGGAAAAAAAAGAGGCAGAUUGGCAACAAAUGUUAGCUCAGGGCAAAUCUUCCUCAGAAAAAAAAAAUUUAAAAAGAUGUAGUGGAGAUGUGGACAAUAUACAUGAAUAGAUGGGAGAUUUCAGUAGAGAGAUGGAAAAUGUAAGAGAAAGUAAAGUGGAACUGUUAGAAAUAAAAAACAAAGUAACGGAGAGAAAGAAUUCUGUCAAUGAGCCGUUCAGGAGGCUUAUACCGCCAAAGAAAGAAUAAAUAAACCUGAAGACGGGCUAAUAGAAAUUUCCCAAGUCAAAACACAAAGAGAAAACGAAAAACCCAAAAACCCUAGGAGCACUCAAGAGCUGUGAGACAAGACCAAAUGGGCUAACGUGUAUAAUUGAAUCUCAGAAGGAGAAGAGAGAAAGAACAGGGCAGAAGAUACAAAAUUUACUCCUCCCGACCCAUUUCUUUCUCUUCUCAGAGGGAAGAUUUGUCCUGAAGUUAGUAUAUGUUCCUUCCAUCAUGUUUUAAUACUUUUUAGUACACCUGAAUGUGACUGAAAUGAUGUAUGGUAUUGUUUUUGUUUAAAAAAAAUAUAUAAAUGGCAUCAUGUUAUCUUUCUUUGCAAUCUACUUUUUUAAAUUAAAAAUUAAAAUUGGAGGACUGGCUCCUUGGCGUAGUGGUUAAGUUCAUGAACUCUGCUUUGGUGGCCUGGGGUUCACUGGUUCAGAUCCAGGGUGCAGACAUACACAUCACUCAUCAGGCCAUGCUCUGGUGGCACCCCACACAGAAGAACUAGAAGGAUCUACAACUGGAAUAUACAACUGUGUGCUGGGGCUUUGGAGAGGGAAAAACAAAAGAGGAAGAUUGGCAACAGAUGUUAGCUCAGGGCCAACCUUAAAAAAAAAUUAAAAUUGAUAAUUUUAACUAUUAUAUGAUAUAUCAUUAGUUUAUUUAUUCAUUCCCCAAGUGAUGGAAAUAUAGGUUUAUUUUAAUUUUUAAUAUUAUAAACAAUGCUGUAAUAAAUGUAUUUGCACAUGAAUACUUGUGAACAUGUGAGAUUCAUAUUUAUUCCUCAGCAUGUAAUUCUGAGUUAAGGAAAAAGCAAUUUUCAAUAUUACUAAGUAUUGACAAAUUGUUCAUUAGAACGGCUGAAUUGAUUUACACUUCUACUAGCAGUGAAUAAUAAUUUCUUAUUCUUGACAUUUUCACAAAUGCUUGGUAUUAUCAGAUCUUAAUUGUUGUCAAAUUAUGGGUGUAAAAUUCUAUUUUAAUGUUUUAAUUUUCAUUUCCCCUGAAUAUCUUUUGAUAUGUUCAUUGGAUGUUUCUGUUUUUG